UGCAGUCGAGCGAGUCUACCUGGUAGCAAUAUUGGGUAAGUCGAGCGGCGCAAUUGGCAGUAAUACCUGGGAACGUACCCUGAGGUCGGGGAUAGCUGCUGGAAACGGCGAGUAAUACCCGAUGAUCUUGGAAAAGCAAAGGCUUGCCGCCUUGGGAGCGGCCCAGGCGAUAUUAGCUAGUUGGUGGGGUAAUGGCCUACCAAGGCAUAGAUGUCUAGCGGGUGUGAGAGCACGACCCGCGCCACUGGCACUGAGACACUGGCCAGACACCUACGGGUGGCUGCAGUCGAGAAUCUUCGGCAAUGAGCGCAAGCUUGACCGAGCGACGCCGCGUGCGGGAUGAAGGCCUUCGGGUUGUAAACCGCUUUGGUCCGAAAGAAAGGGUAAAACUUGAUCGAUCGGAGAAACAAGGACGGGCUAAGUUCGUGCCAGCAGCCGCGGUAAGACGAACCGUCCAAACGUUAUUCAGAAUCACUGGGCUUAAAGGGCGCGUAGGCGGCCGAGCGGGUCGUGGGUGAAAUCCCCCAGCUUAACUGGGGAACUGCUUACGAUACCACUGCGGCUCGAGGAAGGAAGGGGCAAUUGGAACUGUCGGUGGAGCGGUGAAAUGCGUUGAUAUCGACAGGAACGCCUGUGGCGAAAGCGAAUUGCUGGU
rnacentral:rRNA from 1 species